AACGGUGCAUGGACUGGCUAGA
rnacentral:miRNA from 1 species